rnacentral:rRNA from 1 species
AAGUCUAUAACGACUCUCGGCAACGGAUAUCUCGGCUCUCGCAUCGAUGAAGAACGUAGCGAAAUGCGAUACUUGGUGUGAAUUGCAGAAUCCCGUGAACCAUCGAGUCUUUGAACGCAAGUUGCGCCCCAAGCCUUCUGGCCGAGGGCACGUCUGCCUGGGUGUCACA